CCUACGGGGGGCAGCAGUGAGGAAUAUUGGUCAAUGGGCGCGAGCCUGAACCAGCCAAGUCGCGUGAGGGCUGACGGCCCUACGGGUUGUAAACCUCUUUUGCCGGGGAGCAACGGGCGCCACGUGUGGCGCCACUGCGAGUACCCGGAGAAAAAGCAUCGGCUAAAUCCGUGCCAGCAGCCGCGGUAAUACGGAGGAUGCGAGCGUUAUACGGAUUUAUUGGGCUUAAAGGGGGGCUAGGCGGUCGGAUAAGUUUGCUGUGAAAUCCCGAGGCUCAACUUCGGAAUUGCCUCUUAUCUUGUUCGGCUAGAGAGUAGUGGCGGGAGGCGGAAUGUAUGGUGUAGCGGUGAAAUGCUUAGAGAUCAUACAGAACACCGAUUGCGAAGGCAGCUUACCAAGCUACUUCUGACGUUGAGGCACGAAAGCGUGGGGAGCAAACAGGAUUAGAUACCCGAGUAGUC
rnacentral:rRNA from 1 species